rnacentral:rRNA from 1 species
GACGAACGCUGGCGGCGUGCUUAAUACAUGCAAGUCGAACGGAAAGGCCCUGCUUUUGUGGGGUGCUCGAGUGGCGAACGGGUGAGUAACACGUGAGUAACCUGCCCUUGACUUUGGGAUAACUUCAGGAAAAUGGGGCUAAUAUCGGAUAGGAGCUCCUGCUGCAUGGUGGGGGUUGGAAAGUUUCGGCGGUUGGGGAUGGACUCGCGGCUUAUCAGCUUGUUGGUGGGGUAGUGGCUUACCAAGGCUUUGACGGGUAGCCGGCCUGAGAGGGUGACCGGCCACAUUGGGACUGAGAUACGGCCCAGACUCCUACGGGAGGCAGCAGUGGGGAAUAUUGCACAAUGGGCGGAAGCCUGAUGCAGCAACGCCGCGUGCGGGAUGACGGCCUUCGGGUUGUAAACCGCUUUCGCCUGUGACGAAGCGUGAGUGACGGUAAUGGGUAAAGAAGCACCGGCUAACUACGUG